rnacentral:rRNA from 1 species
UAAUUCCUCGGGGGCAGCAGUGAGGAAUAUUGGUCAAUGGGCGGAAGCCUGAACCAGCCAAGUCGCGUGAGGGAAUAAGGCCCUACGGGUCGUAAACCUCUUUUGCCGGGGAGCAAGGGCCGGGACGCGUCCCGGCCCGGAGAGUACCCGGAGAAAAAGCAUCGGCUAACUCCGUGCCAGCAGCCGCGGUAAUACGGAGGAUGCGAGCGUUAUCCGGAUUUAUUGGGUUUAAAGGGUGCGUAGGCGGGCUUUUAAGUCAGCGGUAAAAAUUCGGGGCUCAACCCCGUCCGGCCGUUGAAACUGGG